rnacentral:rRNA from 1 species
CGUAGGGCGAAGCGUUAUCCGGAUUUACUGGGUGUAAAGGGAGCGUAGACGGAAGAGCAAGUCUGAUGUGAAAGGCUGGGGCUUAACCCCAGGACUGCAUUGGAAACUGUUUUCUAGAGUGCCGGAGAGGUAAGCGGAAUUCCUAGUGUAGCGGUGAAAUGCGUAGAUAUUAGGAGGAACACCAGUGGCGAAGGCGGCUUACUGGACGGUAACUGACGUUGAGGCUCGAAAAGCGUGGGGGAGCAAACAGGAUU